CUUUCAAAAGAAGAUCGAUGACACAUACAAGACCUGGUUUCAAGUAGACGGCUUAAACAAUAUCCCCCCAUAUAUUGUCACAAAGCCAAAUUGGAAGCCACCAUGCUCAAACAAGAAUCGGCGAAAGCGUUCUGCAACAGAUGAUUCGAACAUAUUUGUCAUUGGAAAUGACGUGUGUCAUGGUUUUUCUACUACAAAGGAAUAUUGCAAUGGGCCUUUACCUGAUGGACGCUCUUUCAAAGUAAAAUCCUUUGUUUGUACGGACUACGGCUGCAGUGAAUCCGUAUACUCACAACCGAUAGAAACAG